GAUGAACGCUGGCGGCGUGCUUAACACAUGCAAGUCGAACGAAGCACUUUAUUUGAUUUCCUUCGGGACUGAUUAUUUUGUGACUGAGUGGCGGACGGGUGAGUAACGCGUGGGUAACCUGCCUUGUACAGGGGGAUAACAGUUGGAAACGGCUGCUAAUACCGCAUAAGCGCACAGCAUCGCAUGAUGCAGUGUGAAAAACUCCGGUGGUAUAAGAUGGACCCGCGUUGGAUUAGCUAGUUGGUGAGGUAACGGCCCACCAAGGCGACGAUCCAUAGCCGACCUGAGAGGGUGACCGGCCACAUUGGGACUGAGACACGGCCCAAACUCCUACGGGAGGCAGCAGUGGGGAAUAUUGCACAAUGGGCGAAAGCCUGAUGCAGCGACGCCGCGUGAGCGAAGAAGUAUUUCGGUAUGUAAAACUCUAUCAGCAGGGAAGAUAAUGACGGUACCUGACUAAGAAGCACCGGCUAAAUACGUG
rnacentral:rRNA from 1 species